rnacentral:lncRNA from 1 species
AAGAGCCACCCGCAAACCCCGAGGAGCUUAGAGUCUGGGGAUAUUUAUGGCGCUUCCUCUUUUUCUUUUCAAUUACAAAGACACCUCACAUAAUUAAGUGCUAAUAACCUUGUUAAUCUAAAAUUGAUACUCUUUCUCCUGGCCAUCUCUUAAUAGAAUUAAAAACAGAUUAAUAAUCAACGAUAGGAGACAUUGCACGCAAUUAAAGAAGAGGGAUGGGGCGUCGGGACGGUGGCGCAGCCUCCCAAACUCGGGGCUGUGUUUCCUCACCCCGGAGCGGGGCCGGGAGCCCGCACGUCCGGGCGCUGUGCAGCGGCGAUGCCGUGGCGGGGUCGGGCGGGCGGCCGCACCGCUCCCCGAGCCGCCCGGAUGGGAAGAUGUGUUUUGCCUUGUUCUCUUUACACAGUUUAAAUUUUUAAGACAAACAGCCAUGUAACACCGUCUCCUAAUGAAACUGUUUUAUGUUAAUUAAUUAUGUAUCAAGGCUCAUUCUCAUGCACGGCCCAGCUCUGCUUCCCCUCCGCCGAGCCUUUGAUCUGUCAAAGGCUAAACGGGAGAUAAAUAAUCAAAUUAAAAAGCAGCCUGGAUGGAAAUAAACACAUUUAAGAUGUGUUAUCUAGUGGUUAGAGCAAGGCACUGAGUAAUAGGACUCCUGGUUCCGUCUCUGCUCCGCUGCGGCAGCGCGGCGGGAAGCGGGCAGGACCGGCCCUGCCAGCCUCAGUUUCCCCAGCCCGGAGCUGCCUCCCCUCUCCUGGCACGGACCCUGCCUGCGCCGCACACGGUGAGUUGUUUCCCAUAGGAGAAAGAGGCGGUGAACGAUGUUAUCUGCCUGAUAAUGACAGAAAAUUAAAAAUCUGCGGUGUUUUUUUCUUCCAGGCCGUGGAGCAUCUCCCUGCAGAUCCAGGCCAGGGCUGGUGUGUGCCCAUGGUAGUUGGGAUGUCAGCGGUGGACACAGUUUUGGGUUGUCCCGGAACGCGGCGGAUGAGGCAGAGGUUAGAGACACGGGCGACCGAUGGCAUAUGCAGAAGCCAAGCCAGCUGCCUUGCUCCAAGCCUCUUGACUGCCCCGGGAAGGGGAAAACCUCCGCCUGGUUUCCGAUCAGCAGCAGGAUCCUUGGCAGAGGGCACCGGCUUCGCCUCUGUCCGCGAUGCUGACAGAGCGGAGCCUCCUGAGCCUGGUAUUUGGGGAAAAAAAUACCCA